rfam:Listeria innocua Clip11262 complete genome, segment 3/12
UAGAGAUUGUCAUUUGAAAUAAGCUAGUUAAGAAUAAAUCACUUCCCCCAUAGAAAUGUUCUUAACAGCUUAUUGCAAAUAAACACUCCUUUUAAGAUAGUUGUAGCACAGAAUUU